AUUUAUUUAUAUUAUUACAAUAAAUUGCAAACAAUCGUGGAACUUAAAGGUUCAUCGAACAAUACCUAGAAGGUCGUAUACCUAAUAGAACAAUAGAAUCCGUUUGAUGAACAUUUAUGUUCGUGGAAAUGUAGAAUUUUGACCAUAUACCUAAUAAAACAAUAGAAUCCGUUGAUUUCGACGAUUCAAAAGUAGGCCCUCUACUUGACAAAUCAGGAAACGAGGAUUACAUGCAAACAUAACCUAUAUUGACAACAUGAAAUCAAUCAAGGAUUGCUGUAGAAGCGUAAUUUAAAUUAAUUCAGUUGAGAAAUCCCGAAAAAUUAUAAAAACAUGUUAAUAGAAGUCCUCAUCUACAUGCAUAAUUUUUUCAGAGUGCUGCAAGGAGCCCAAUGAACUCGUACUUAAAAUUCCUUAAAACAAUAAAUAAAAAAUUGCUAUUAAAAUUACUAUCAAUUAGAAGAACUUGUGUUACAUACUUUUAUUUUCUUGUGCUGUAGAACUAGUCUGGUUGACCUGACUAGUAGUUACAUUGUUAAUAAAAUUAGAAGGCCAACAUUUUGGCAUAGGAUACAACAUCUUGUGUUGGGUUUUUCGGUCAGUUGUACAGCAUCGAAUCUAAAUAUUUUCAAGAAUGAUUUAUGCAUGUAAUUUAUAAAUAAGAAGAUUACUAUAAAAUAAAAAGUGGACCUUGUAUAGUUACUCUAUAACCAAAAAAAUGGAGUUAUAUCAAACAAGUCAUAGAGGACUUGAAUUGAUUGCUUAUUCAUGGAGGACUACUUAAAAAAAUAUUUAAUAAGAUAUUGGUUGCAAAAUUUUGGUUAAAGACUUCCUGUAGGUAAACCCUAUGACAUUGGAAAGAUUUUAAAAGAUUGCAAGGAUGGACUUAAGCAGAUGUUAUGUUCAAGCUUUAAGGGUUAAUAGCCUAUGUAUGAUCAUAAUAUACGUAUAAUUUUAUAAUUAAAUUAUUAAACAUUAUACUUAUUAUAAAGUAUAUCAGGUCAAUCUAUACAUGUAUACAAGAAAAAUAUACUUAAAAGCAUUUACCUCGCCAUUUUUUGUCCAAUAAGAAUACCUAGAUUUUGCUUUCUUAAUAAUAUUAAAAUCAUCCAUAUUUUCUAUUUUAAUAUUUUUAAUAAUUUCUUGAAAAUUUGAAUGUUGCGGACACCACCAUUCAGAGCAGAUUUUCUGGUGAAGAACCAAUAAUAUUUUAAAUAAGUCCUAGAUGUUUUAAUAGUCAGCUUAUUAAAAUUAGCAAAUACCUGCUCCUCUAUUUUUGCUACAACCUUAGCUUCCAAGUUUCUCAACUUUUCAGCUACCGUUUGAUUGAUUAGUAGUACCGAUUCAGAAAUUACGUGACCAGAGCCAGCCUUUUUUAAAGAUUCCUAAAGUAUUUCAAUUUUUUUUAAGUUAUAUUGUAACAUGAACUCGAGUUUACUUUUUUAUUUUAGUAAUAUCACAUAAAAACUGUACUUGCCCUCAAUCUAUCUUGCUCCUCGACACAUUCUCUAUGAAGCCUAUUAUUGGCGCUUUUAAGUUCAAUGAGUUUAUUUUUUAAGUCAAUCUAUGAAAAAUAAAGUAAAAUUGUUUUAAUGUAUCAUAAAAUAGUUUAAUUUGUUGUUUAAAAGAGUCAUUAGAAUAGUACUAACUAUUAGAUUCAAAGGGCAAGGGUCAAAACAUAUUAUUUAACCCACCUUUUGUCUAUACAUUAGAACAUGUAUAAUUUCAUGCAAGAAAUAAAAAUGUUUUAAAAAUCUAAAUUAAUUUUUAAAUAUUUUUUUUUAAAUCUAGUUUGUAAAAUUCUGAUGACUUAGUAAAUUCAUAUUCUUUCUUAUUGUACCCUUAUGCAACUUAGCAUGUAUAAAAAUUAAUUCCAUUAAAUCAACCAAUACUACUUUAUAAUAAAAUUUAAGAAAAAAACUUACAUUUUCUUCCUGUACAAUACUUUUUUCUUCUGUAAUGAUUUCUACAUCAUUACAAAUAGUAUUAAUUUUUUGUUCCAAAAGCUUAAUUUUCUGUGAGAUAUUAUAAAAUAGAACAAUAAGUGUGAAAAAAAUAUAUAUAUUUUUUAAUAUAAUACCAUACAUACUUGUUUUAGUUGAUGAUUUUCUCUAACGAAUGACUCAGAUGUCUCUGCCACAUGUUUAUAGUACUCUAACUCAGUACCUUUAAAAGAGGGAUCAGCAAUUAAAUAUGCCUCGUACAUACUUAGAGUCUCACUCAUUUUAGUAAUUUUUAAUAAAAUAUUAAAAAUUAAAAUAAAAUAUUAAAAAUUA